UUCUAUUUUAUCGAACUAAGAAUCUUGACUUCAUAUUCCUUCUAUAUUAUUUAGUAUCUUGAUUUUUUGCUUUUUUUGUGAAUU
rnacentral:tRNA from 1 species